UACAGAGGGUGCGAGCGUUAAUCGGAAUUACUGGGCGUAAAGCGCGCGUAGGCGGUUUUGUAAGUCGGGUGUGAAAUCCCCAAGCUUAACUUGGGAACUGCAUUCGAGACUGCAUAGCUAGAGUAUGGGAGAGGGAAGUGGAAUUUUAGGUGUAGCGGUGAAAUGCGUAGAUAUCUGAAGGAACAUCAGUGGCGAAAGCGACUUCCUGGACCAAUACUGACGCUCAUGUGCGAAAGCGUGGGGAGCAAACAGG
rnacentral:rRNA from 1 species